CCUAAAACACAAGAAACGAUGUCCCCAGUCAGAUUGGCCAUGCUAAUUACUGUACAUGACAAAUUAUCACCACAUAAAUUUUCAAAUGGCUUGGAUCCAGAGCCCAAGCUUUAACUAUAUUCGUGUACACAACACAAAGGAGGCAUCCUUGUUCCUGCACUUGGGGAAGGCUACCUAUGCUACAGAUUUUAAUUUCUGAUUUCCUCGAUGUUAUUAAAGCCAAUAUGUUAUCCUGUCACCAGGAACUCAGUAGCUUGGGCUUUUGGACUUUCAAAUAGAAGAAAGGCCGAUGGCCGUUAAUUUUUCGCAAGUGAAAAAAGAGUCAAUUGACCUCUUACAAAAAAGUUUUUAAGGGCUAAAUUGACCUCUGGACCAAUGUGAUGGAUCCCUGCUAGGCGUUCACAAGUUAAGUAAUAGGAGGAAACACAAAGGAAACAGUAUGACAGAAAGAAUAUAAAACUGAUGGUCAAGUGCGCAUAAGGGCACCUAGAUGCAAGAAUUAUCUUUGAAGUAUAGGUUGUUUACCUUGAACAUCCAUUCAGUUGCGAAAAACUGGGCUUCAUCAUUGUUGGCAUCACUGUUAGAUAUGCCCUCGGCAAGGGGCUCCAGUUGUUGGGGCAAAGUAAGAAGAUAUUCACCAACACUGGUAACAUAUGAUUGUGGAUACGCACUGAAGAUCGGAAGAGGGAAGGCACUCUGUUCCUCUACUGAGGACCAAAUUGGCAAGCGAGACACAUCAUUGAGGCGUAGACGUACUUUAGAUAUGAGUACAUCAUACACAAGCUCAUUCACUGUGUCAGCAAAUGCUGCGACUCUUUGAGAUGCCAGCGGAAGUGCAUGAAACCGAGGAUCUUUGGACUGCAAGAUGACAUGCAACAGUCCGUUAUUAUGAUCUGAGCAUCAUGGAAACAGCAAAGGAGAAAGAAAGGGAUCUUUGAAGCCAAAAAAUAAGCAUCAUUGGCAUGUAAUUCCAAAUGCAAAAAAAAUUAAAUUAGAAACAAAUCUAAAAGAAUUAACUGCAGAGUAGACACGGUUCAUGGUUCCUACUCAUAACCCUCUUGACUAUCCAAGAAAUAAGAGAGGAUGGAAAAAAGGAAGAUGAAGAUACUAAACCCAUGUACCUGAUCUAAAAGGUUAAAUAAUUUCCGAGCCUUCUCAGGAACAUCAACAAGCCGAACAGCUGCCACAUCCAAAGCAGCCCUUCCACCUAAUGA